CCUACGGGAGGCAGCAGUGGGGAAUAUUGGGCAAUGGGCGCAAGCCUGACCCAGCAACGCCGCGUGAAGGAAGAAGGCUUUCGGGUUGUAAACUUCUUUUCUUGGGGACGAAGAAAGUGACGGUACCCAAGGAAUAAGCCACGGCUAACUACGUGCCAGCAGCCGCGGUAAUACGUAGGUGGCAAGCGUUAUCCGGAUUUAUUGGGUGUAAAGGGCGUGUAGGCGGGAUUGCAAGUCAGAUGUGAAAACCACGGGCUCAACCUGUGGCCUGCAUUUGAAACUGUAGUUCUUGAGUGCUGGAGAGGCAAUCGGAAUUCCGUGUGUAGCGGUGAAAUGCGUAGAUAUACGGAGGAACACCAGUGGCGAAGGCGGAUUGCUGGACAGUAACUGACGCUGAGGCGCGAAAGCGUGGGGAGCAAACAGGAUUAGAUACCCUUGUAGUC
rnacentral:rRNA from 1 species